UUGCUUAUUCUAGAAUCUUUUUCUUUUUCCAUUCCACCUAUUUCUCUCGAUCUAAAUAAUAAAAUUGGUUUACCCUUGGAGAGGUCUUUUUCUAUAAACGGAAGAUUUUGGUUUGUUGUUCUUGUUUCUUUUGAAACUUUUUAAAAUAAUUUUAUUAUUAUUAUUUUUUUAAAACGCUUUCAGCUGUAACCUUUUCAUAUUUUCCAAUUUUUUUUUUCGAGUUCCUUUAAAAUGGGCUCAAAAAAGGAAGGUGUUUUUCGGGGAGAACCAAAAGGCACACGUUUGAACUCCA